rnacentral:rRNA from 1 species
UACGGAGGGUGCUAGCGUUGUUCGGAAUUACUGGGCGUAAAGGGCGUGUAGGCGGUUUGUUAAGUCAUGUGUGAAAUCCCUCGGCUCAACCGGGAACGACGCAUGAAACUGGCAAGCUAGAGUACCAAGAGGGGUGGAAUUCCGGUGUAGCGGUGAAAUGCGCAGAUAUCAGGAGGAACACCGGUGGCGAAGGCGGGUCUCUGGGC